UCCCUGGAGGACUAGUGGUUAGGCCACAGCGCUCUCACUGCUGCGGCCCGGGUUUGAUUCCCGGCCAGGGAA